GGCUUCGUAGCUCACCUGGUAGAGCGCUUCCGCGUUGAGGCAUGCUGCUUCUGACGCUGGUUCGAAUCCGGUCGAAGCCC
rnacentral:tRNA from 1 species